UUUAAGGAAAAAGCAAAAGAUACU
rnacentral:snRNA from 1 species